UCCAGAACAGUGUGUGAAGGGCCAGGGU
rnacentral:piRNA from 1 species